GUGCUCGCUUCGGCAGCACAUAUACUAAAAUUAGAACGAUACAGAGAAGUUUAGCAUGGCCCCUGUGCAAGUAAGACAUGCAAAUUUGUGAAGUGUUCCAUAUUAAA
ensembl:snRNA U6 U6 spliceosomal RNA